GAUGAACGCUGGCGGCGUGCUUAACACAUGCAAGUCGAACGGAAAGGCUCCUGCUUGCAGAGGUACUCGAGUGGCGAACGGGUGAGUAACACGUGGGUGAUCUGCCCUGCACUUCGGGAUAAGCCUGGGAAACUGGGUCUAAUACCGGAUAGGACGAUGGUUUGGAUGCCAUUGUGGAAAGUUUUUUCGGUGUGGGAUGAGCUCGCGGCCUAUCAGCUUGUUGGUGGGGUAAUGGCCUACCAAGGCGUCGACGGGUAGCCGGCCUGAGAGGGUGUACGGCCACAUUGGGACUGAGAUACGGCCCAGACUCCUACGGGAGGCAGCAGUGGGGAAUAUUGCACAAUGGGCGCAAGCCUGAUGCAGCGACGCCGCGUGGGGGAUGACGGCCUUCGGGUUGUAAACUCCUUUCGCUAGGGACGAAGCGCAAGUGACGGUACCUGGAGAAGAAGCACCGGCUAACUACGUG
rnacentral:rRNA from 1 species